CUCCACAGUUACUGGUCUGAAACUGUUCAGGGCUGUAGCAGUUGCAGUAUUCCCUCUGUGGAAGAUAAACUGUUACAUAGUAUUAAGCUCCUUCUUAGAACCUCUUAAGAAGGACUUUCUGUGUAACAAACAGUG
rfam:Colinus virginianus strain Texas jcf7180006227143, whole genome shotgun sequence.